rnacentral:rRNA from 1 species
AUUGAACGCUGGCGGCAGGCCUAACACAUGCAAGUCGGACGGUAGCACAGAGAGCUUGCUCUUGGGUGACGAGUGGCGGACGGGUGAGUAAUGUCUGGGGAUCUGCCCGAGAGAGGGGGAUAACCACUGGAAACGGUGGCUAAUACCGCAUAACGUCGCAAGACCAAAGAGGGGGACCUUCUGGCCUCUCACUAUCGGAUGAACCCAGAUGGGAUUAGCUAGUAGGCGGGGUAAUGGCCCACCUAGGCGACGAUCCCUAGCUGGUCUGAGAGGAUGACCAGCCACACUGGAACUGAGACACGGUCCAGACUCCUACGGGAGGCAGCAGUGGGGAAUAUUGCACAAUGGGCGCAAGCCUGAUGCAGCCAUGCCGCGUGUAUGAAGAAGGCCUUCGGGUUGUAAAGUACUUUCAGCGGGGAGGAAGGCGGUGAGGUUAAUAACCUUGCCGAUUGACGUUACCCGCAGAAGAAGCACCGGCUAACUCCGUGCCAGCCGCCGCGGUAA